GCUGGCAGCUAGCUCUCUGCAACUCUCACAUGGUCGCCUACUGAAGCUAAGCAGGGCUGCGCCUAGUCAGUAUCUGGAUAAGAGACCACAUGGGACAGCUAGGUUGCUGCUGGAA
rfam:Danio rerio chromosome 24, GRCz11 reference primary assembly.